AAAGCACACUUCGUUGUGAACUGCAGUGUUAUAGUGAGAACCUUUGACACAGAAGAAAAUUAUUUCUAAAAUAUGUUCUAAAAUAACGUAUCGCUUUACCGUAUGCAUGUACAUAGUAUAACGUUAGUUGUUAUCUAUUAGAUUUUUGAUCCCCGUACAUUGCUAAAACUGCACAAUGCGACACCCGGGUAUACGACUAUUAAAAAACCUCCAAUACAACAAUGUUGAUAAACAAAGAUUAUUUGUGAUAUCUACAAGCAGUGUCACAAUAAAACUGAAGAUUUUGAUUUUGUAUCGCCUAUGAAAAGUAAUUUAUUCUGCAAACAUGCAGUGCCACGGAAACUCUAACUAUCUUUUAUUAAGAAGCUGCAUAUGUGUUAUUUCGUUUAAACAAUUUGUAACUACAGUUUGAAUCCCCUUUUUAACAUGGACAUAUUAUACACUUGAUGAGAUUGUUUGCGCGGCUCAGUUCUCAGUUCACAUGUUUGACAAAUGGCACUAUAAAACGUUGGUAAAAAUAUCAAAAACAGCCUUUUUAAUUUGGAAUAGUAUAUGCCCAAUGACGGUUUGGCAGAAACCACAAAAAAGUAUAGAUUGUCAAUAACAUGUCGCACAUACCGGGCCCUAGUUCAAGAUCAAAGAUAAUUGCCGCCUUGGAAUGUCUAGCGGAAUGAUUGACACCUGUUAUCACUGUAAAUGUCUUGUCAAGGCUUGACUAACGAUGACUCAACGCCAAUUUAAAGAGGACAUUACCACAUGUUUAUUGAUAAACAUUGAGAAUAACCAUAGACAGUAUGGCGCCGCUUAAUUUGACUGUCUGCCGCUUUCACACUGAUUUGACAAUAUGCAUAGGUAACACGCGUUACUGCCGCAUGAGUUUGUUAUUUUCUAUGAUGGGUAGUGAUACGUGUGCGAUUUAUUUGCAAUGAAACUUAGCCAAUUCUCUAUGACAUCGGCAUUUGUGCACGGGAACCACGGCGUGUAUGUUUAUUUCUCUCAAAUCGUAAACGUAAUUAUUAAUUACUACAGUCACCUACUACAAUAUUUUGGGUUAUUUGUCAUUUGGAUAUUUUCUUAAUAACUUAAGACAAAUAAUUGAUAUAUGAAUGAUUUAUAUUAAUAUGAAUUCAGGCUCUUGAAAUAGAGUUUAUUAACAUCAUUCCUCUAUUUGGCUGGCAUUUUGAGUAGAUUGUUCUGACUAAAUCUAGUUCCACCAUGCAAACUACAUGUUUUCCUCUGAAUUUAUAAUCAGUAUCUCUUCAAUUGUAAUUAUUCUACCUGCGUUUUAUGUUAUAAGAAAACCGAACAGUUAUCAUCAUUCGAUAGGACAAAGGCUUAACUAUGCUUCUUACCCAAACUACCAAACUAAGUAUUCAUUUGUGUGUGACCAUAUCCCUACAAACACGCUAAAACCAAGCAAUCCCAUUUCACUUACAUAUUGUUUGAAACACAUGCUAGUCAAUCGCAAAAUACUGAUUCGCAUUUUAGAUUCAAGGUAAGCAAUGCAUUAUAUACUUACAACAUAUUUAUCAUGUUCAAUUUAAGGAUCCGAAUACCAGAUCGACGAGGAGGACAAGAGUGACACAUCGUCGGAAUUUGCCACCAAUUACCAGAGUCCAGUCAAGCGCAAGAACAAAAUCUUGAGACAAAGGGAAGAAAAUGGAAAAAAGAAUAGAUUAGGAAGCGGUCCAGUUGCCUCAUCUACACCUAUGACAAGAGUUUACGACUUUUCAGAUGGAGAAGAUGACGGUCAGGACUUACUGAGAAGAGCCUCAAGCUGUAAGAAACAAGCUGCAAUUCAAGCUGAGACUCCUCGUAUGAGA